AUAUUCAUCUUAGAAUGUUAGGAAUAUACGUAAUGAAAUUCAUCUCCCACAAGAGCUAAUUGUGAUCUAAUUGAACUAAUAAUUAAAAUUUAUUAUAAAAUUAAUAUUAGAUUAAAAUAAAAAUUUACAGAUCUGAGGCAUGUAGUGCAUUAUCCUAAGAUGAUUUUCGAUCUUCAUGCAGGAUUAAGCUCGAGAAUUUCAUUUCAAGAUACAACUGGUGAUCUUUACUGUGGA
rnacentral:lncRNA from 1 species